rnacentral:rRNA from 1 species
CGGAGGAAAAGAAACCAACAGGGAUUGCCUUAGUAACGGCGAGUGAAGCGGCAACAGCUCAAAUUUGAAAUCUGGCGUCUUUGGCGUCCGAGUUGUAAUUUGCAGAGGGCGCUUUGGCAUUGGCAGCGGUCCAAGUUCCUUGGAACAGGACGUCACAGAGGGUGAGAAUCCCGUACGUGGUCGCUAGCCUUUACCGUGUAAAGCCCCUUCGACGAGUCGAGUUGUUUGGGAAUGCAGCUCUAAAUGGGAGGUAAAUUUCUUCUAAAGCUAAAUACUGGCCAGAGACCGAUAGCGCACAAGUAGAGUGAUCGAAAGAUGAAAAGCACUUUGGAAAGAGAGUUAAAAAGCACGUGAAAUUGUUGAAAGGGAAGCGCUUGCAGCCAGACUUGCUUGUAGUUGCUCAUCCGGGUUUUUACCCGGUGCACUCUUCUAUAAGCAGGCCAGCAUCAGUUUGGGCGGUUGGAUAAAGGUCUCUGUCAUGUACCUCUCUUCGGGGAGAACUUAUAGGGGAGACGACAUGCAACCAGCCUGGACUGAGGUCCGCGCAUCUGCUAGGAUGCUGCGUAGUCAUGACU